rnacentral:piRNA from 1 species
UGAGGUGGAAAUGCAGGGCCAGGAGUG